rnacentral:rRNA from 1 species
GACGAACGCCGGCGGCGUGCUUAACACAUGCAAGCCGAACGAUGAACCCGGAGCUUGCUCCGGCGGAUUAGUGGCGAACGGGUGAGUAACACGUGAGUAACCUGCCCUUGACUCUGGGAUAACUGCGGGAAACUGUAGCUAAUACCGGAUACGACCCUCGGCGGCAUCGCCAGGGGGUGGCAGGAAUCUCGGUAAAGGAUGGACGCGCGGGCUAUCAGCUAGUUGGUGAGGUAACGGCUCACCAAGGCGACGCCGGGUAGCCGGCCUGAGAGGGUGACCGGCCACACUGGGACUGAGACACGGCCCAGACUCCUACGGGAGGCAGCAGUGGGGAAUAUUGCACGAUGGGCGCAAGCCUGAUGCAGCAACGCCGCGUGAGGGAUGACGGCCUUCGGGUUGUAAACCUCUUUUAGUAGGGAAGAAGCGAAAGUGACGGUACCUGCAGAAAAAGCACCGGCUAACUACGUGCCAGCAGCCGCCGUAA